rnacentral:rRNA from 1 species
CCUACGGUGUGCAGCAGUGGGGAAUAUUGCACAAUGGGGGGAACCCUGAUGCAGCGACGCCGCGUGGGUGAAGGAGCACCUCGGUGCGUAAAGCCCUAUCGGCAGGGAAGAAAAGCGAACAGGUUCGCCUGGACGGUACCUGACUAAGAAGCCCCGGCUAACUACGUGCCAGCAGCCGCGGUAAUACGUAGGGGGCAAGCGUUAUCCGGAUUCACUGGGGGUAAAGGGAGCGUAGACGGCGGCGCAAGUCUGGAGUGAAAGCCCGGGGCCCAACCCCGGGACGGCUCUGGAAACUGCGGCGCUGGAGUGCGGGAGGGGUAGGCGGAAUUCCUGGUGUAGCGGUGAAAUGCGUAGAUAUCAGGAGGAACACCGGCGGCGAAGGCGGCCUGCUGGACCGUGACUGACGUUGAGGCUCGAGAGCGUGUGGAGCAAACAGGAUUAGAUACCCGAGUAGUC